rnacentral:rRNA from 1 species
UACGAAGGGGGCUAGCGUUGCUCGGAAUCACUGGGCGUAAAGCGCACGUAGGCGGCUUGUUAAGUCAGGGGUGAAAUCCUGGAGCUCAACUCCAGAACUGCCUUUGAUACUGGCGAGCUUGAGUUCGGGAGAGGUGAGUGGAACUGCGAGUGUAGAGGUGAAAUUCGUAGAUAUCGGGAGGAACACCGGUGGCGAAGGCGGCGACCUGGGUAGAUACGUGACGCUGAGGCGCGAAAGCGUGGGGAGCAAACAGG